UACAGAGGUCUCAAGCGUUGUUCGGAUUCAUUGGGCGUAAAGGGUGUGUAGGUGGCGCCGUAAGUCGGGUGUGAAAUUCCGGAGCUUAACUCCGAAACUGCAUUCGAUACUGCGGUGCUUGAGGACUGGAGAGGAGACUGGAAUUUACGGUGUAGCAGUGAAAUGCGUAGAUAUCGUAAGGAAGACCAGUGGCGAAGGCGGGUCUCUGGACAGUUCCUGACACUGAGACACGAAGGCCCAGGGGAGCAAACGGGG
rnacentral:rRNA from 1 species